UACGUAGGGUGCAAGCGUUAAUCGGAAUUACUGGGCGUAAAGCGUGCGCAGGCGGUUGUGUAAGACAGAUGUGAAAUCCCCGGGCUCAACCUGGGAACUGCAUUUGUGACUGCAUUGCUGGAGUGCGGCAGAGGGGGAUGGAAUUCCGCGUGUAGCAGUGAAAUGCGUAGAUAUGCGGAGGAACACCGAUGGCGAAGGCAGCCCCCUGGGCCGAUACUGACGCUCAUGCACGAAAGCGUGGGGAGCAAACAGG
rnacentral:rRNA from 1 species